UACGGGGGGGGCAAGCGUUGUUCGGAAUUACUGGGCGUAAAGGGCUCGUAGGCGGCCAACUAAGUCAGACGUGAAAUCCCUCGGCUUAACCGGGGAACUGCGUCCGAUACUGAAAGGCUUGAAUCCGGGAGAGGGAUGUGGAAUUCCAGGUGUAGCGGUGAAAUGCGUAGAUAUCAGGAGGAACACCGGUGGCGAAGGCGGAUCUCUGGGCCGUACCUGACGCUCAGGCGCGAAAGCUAGGGGAGCGAACAGG
rnacentral:rRNA from 1 species